rnacentral:rRNA from 1 species
GAUGAACGCUAGCGGGAGGCUUAACACAUGCAAGUCGAGGGGCAGCAUAGGGUAGCAAUACUCUGAUGGCGACCGGCAAACGGGUGAGUAACGCGUAUGCAACCUACCCUGUACAGGGGGAUAACCCGGAGAAAUUCGGACUAAUAUCCCGUAAUAAUAUCCGGAGGCAUCUUUGGAUAUUUAAAGUUCCGACGGUACGGGAUGGGCAUGCGUAACAUUAGCUGGUUGGUAAGGUAACGGCUUACCAAGGCUAUGAUGUUUAGGGGUCCUGAGAGGGUGGUCCCCCACACUGGUACUGAGACACGGACCAGACUCCUACGGGAGGCAGCAGUGAGGAAUAUUGGUCAAUGGGCGCAAGCCUGAACCAGCCAUCCCGCGUGCAGGAAGACGGCCCUAUGGGCUGUAAACUGCUUUUCCAGGGAGAGAAACUUACGCACGUGUUGCGUGACUGACGGUACCCUGGGAAUAAGCAUCGGCUAACUCCGUG